rnacentral:rRNA from 1 species
CACGUAUGGGGCGAGCGUUGUUCGGAAUUAUUGGGCGUAAAGGGCACGCAGGCGGCUUAGUAAGUCUGGUGUGUAAGACCGCAGCUUAACUGCGGGAACGCACUGGAAACUAUUAGGCUUGAGUUCAAGAGGGGGAGCUGGAAUUCCAGGUGUAGGGGUGAAAUCUGUAGAUAUCUGGAAGAACAUCAGUGGCGAAGGCGAGCUCCUGGCUAUGAACUGACGCUGAGGUGCGAAAGCGUGGGGAG